AAACGAAUUACCUGGAGAUCUUGUUAAAGUUCGGAUUCUGAUUCACCAGGUCUGCAAGUGUGGGGUGGGCAGGAGAGUCUGUAUUUCUAAACAUACUCCCAAGUAAUGCUGAA
rnacentral:pre_miRNA from 1 species